AAUAAGCCCAAUAUUCAUACCAUGCAAAUUAAAAAUCUCAAUAUCCAAAAAUUAUAGAAGAGAAAAGCAGCAAAGUAGAACCCUUAGAUUAGAUUAAUGAGAAACCAUAAACCAAUCUACUCAAAAGCCAAUCUAUAGAUCUACCCAAUAACCCAAAAGAUCGAUGCUCACCUUAGAUUAUCUACAAAGAUCGAUGCUUGCCA
rnacentral:misc_RNA from 1 species